AAUCUUAUAGAACAAUGGAGUUGUGAGACUCACGAGUGACUCCCCACCUCCAAGCUCUUGUGGGUUUUUUUCAUAGGGGACAAGGCAAUGAGGGCAGAAACGAACCUGAAAUAAUAGCUAGUGUAGAAGGGAAUUAAAUACAUAAUGUGAAUAAAUGAAGGAGGCUGGGCUGGGAAAGUCAGUGGGUUUUAGCCACCUGGGCCAUGAGUUCGAACCACUGUGACUACAAUGCUUUUGACUACUGGGGACAAGGAACAGUGGUGACCGUUUCCAGCGCGACCCCCACACCCCCCUCCGUCUUCCCCCUGGUUCCCUGCUGCACCAAGACUGGCAAUGCUCCCCCGGACACAAGCUUGGCCUGCCUCGUAACUGGCUAUUUCCCAUCACCAGUGGAGAUCAAGUGGAAUUCGGGCAAAGUGACCAAGGGGGUCACAACUUUCCCAGAGGUGACGAUGAGCAACGGGCGCUUCACCCAGAGCAGCCUGCUGAUCAUCCCUGCCAGGUCCCGGCAGGGCGACACCAACCAGUGCGAUGUGACGCAUCAAGGGACAGCAACGACCCUGUCGAAGACGUUCCCUCAGGAGGUGUGUGGUUCGACAGCACCACCCCAGGUUCACCUCCUGGUGCCCACCUGCGAGGAGAGCUCCACAGAGAGCCAGCUGGAGCUGGUUUGCCUCCUCCUGAGCUUCAAACCUGGCAACGCCAAUGUGAAAUGGCUGGUGAAUGGAAAGGAGAGCAGCCCCCCCACCCCGGCCUUUUCCUCUGCAAUGGGCACAGAUGGCUUCUACAUGGGGCAGAGCCGCAUGAAGGUCACCAAGCAGAGCUGGGAGAAGGGGGACGUCUACACCUGCCAAGUGAUCCACCCAGCAGUGGGAGCAGAGCUCUCCAUGCACAACACCAGCAAGUGCUUGGCCUGCCUCAGAAGCUCACUUGACCCAACCAUCUACUUAACUAAACCCUCCUAUGAAGACGUCAUCAAAAAUUCUGGUCGUGUUACCUGUCUAGUUCUGGGUUAUGACUCAGCGGCCAGCAGCAUCACAUGGAAAGUGGAUGGGCAAGUCAGCUCUGCGGCGAAGACAGAACCCCCCAAGAAGAACAGCAACGGGACCACCAGCCUAGUCAGUUCUCACCCUGUGUCGCUGGCACAAUGGGGACAAGGCACCCAAUUUACCUGCAAAGUGACCACACCCUGUUCUGUAGAACUAACCCAGGACAUAACCAUGGGCAACACAGGCAUCAGGAAGAAGGAGCCCUCAGUCACCAUCUCCAGAGCCUACCACGAAGACACCUCCGGGAAUAGAGUCUCUUUGACUCUUAUCUGCGAAGCUAGUGGCUUUUACCCAGAAGAGAUCAGCAUCUCAUGGUUGAAGAACAACUCCCCAGAACUCAAGUCGAGUUACAACAAUGGCCCCGUGUCAGGAAGUGGCAUUUUCUCUGCCUACAGCAUCCUGAAGGUUGACAAAAGUGGAGGAGCAGUAAAUUACACCUGCGUGGUGCAUCACCCGGCCAUGAAAGAGCCCAAGAGAGUUGUGGAAAAGGUGUCCCUCGAUUUCCUGGAGCCAUCUCCCCCAACAGUCACAGUCUUCCACACACCAGGCAUAGCUGGGCACGAGAAUCUGACCUGCUUUGCCACCGGCUUCUACCCAAAGCACCUAGACAUGCAAUGGACUGUCAACAAGCAGCAGCUCAAUUGCAGCUUUCCCUCCUCUCCGACGGCCCUGGGCGAUGGGAGGUUCCAGCAGAGCUGUCAGCUGGUGCUCAGAGCGGCUGAGUGGAGCACGCUGAAGACCUACACCUGCAUUGUGACCCAUAGCUCCACUAAGAUGACCCUGAAGACAGCGCUGCAGUCUACUGGCUGCCAGGAACCAGCAUUGCCAUCCGCCUACAUCCAGCCCCCAUCUUUGAAAGAGCUUUUCAUGAACGAGUCAGCUUCUGUGAUGUGCAAGACCUCCCUGGCCAAUGCCAGUAUCAGCUGGACAAAGGAUGGUGAGCUGGCGGACCUGGGAGCCGUGAGGAUGGAGCAGCUCAAGGGCAGCACCUGGCUGCAAAGUUGGCUGCAGGUCAACCUGAGUGAAUGGAACUCCACCGAGACCAUCAGAUGCCAGAUCAAGAGUGACCUGGCGGAGAAUGUGCUGAGCAUCAGCCCAAAGAAUGGUUCCUUGAAGGCUCCAACCAUCUACCUUCUGUCCCCAUCCUCAGAGGAAAUCUGCAGCAACCAAAACCUCACUCUUCACUGCAUCGUCAAAGACUUCUACCCUGGUGAGGUCUCCGUCUGGUGGCAGGAGAAGACAGCCCAGAUGGAGGUUGAUAUCCCAGCCGAUGACGAGAACCACAACUGUGACCAUAACAGCCAGCAGUGCUCAGUGAUCAGCAAGCUUGAGGUGUCCAGGAGCAGAUGGAUUCUGGGGACUUCCUACAGCUGUCUAGUUGCCCACCUCUCCUCUGAAGGGAUUAUAGCAAGAAAUGUCAAUGUUCAUACUGAGUCCUGGCACUGCUCCGUCCUGGGCAUCAACCCCUGCAGCAUCCGAGACGACAGCAUGGAUGACUACAGUGAGCUGGACGAUGCCCAAUGCGUGUGGACCACGGUCUCCACCUUCAUUGCCCUCUUCCUCAUCACGCUCUUCUACAGCGGAUUCGUCACCUUCAUCAAGGUGAAAUAGGUGCCACUCUCUCCACACUGUGAAGAAGAAGGAAUGGUGUCCAAUCUGCCCCUCUAUUUGCAGUUCUUUUGCCCACUUCCAUUUCCCUGCCUAUCCAUGGCGGCUGGCCUGACCUACAGGGUAGAUCAUCUGGCCAUGGUGAUCUCCCAUUCCUUCCAGAGACACAUGAAGAAAGAACAUCAAAGAAAGGCCUUCACUGUUCCCAUCCAUUUUAUGAAGGCCAAGAACUAUCCAUACUCCAUGCUAAGGGAGAGAAAGUGGGUAAAGACGUCUCCCAAAAAGAUUCCUUUGAUAGUUCUCUGUUCCUUCUCUCAGCCUUACCAUAUCAGCUCCCUAACCCCUCAAAAAAUUACCUGAGCUCCCCUCUGUGCUGCUAAAUCUUAUUCUGUACUACACCUCCUGAGAGUCUUAGAGGGUCACAGUUGUGGACCCAAUACACCCUCCCAUCUUUCACAGGGCUUCUAAGGUGGGAAACAAACCCCACUCCAUUCAAGGAUGCCAAGGGCCCUGGUACCUCCUAGGGUAAUACACACAUACCCCCGUUCUAGGACAGAGAUGGAGACAGUUGCAACAAUCUGCAUCCAGAAAAAGCCAGCUCACAACCACUCCAUGCUAUCCAACCUCACAAGAAUUCAUCCUCAUUCUGUUUCCCGACUCAACCCCCUGAGAGCCGAACCUAAUGCUGCAGAUCCCCCACUGCACCCCACAAGAACCCAGCCUAAUGCCAUUCCCCCCAGGAGGUCCCCACUCUACCCAACAAGAUCCUAACCCAAUGGUAUUGAUCCCUCAAGUUCCCCACAUAACCCCACAAGAACCCAACUCAAUACUGUUUCUUCUAACAAAGCCCCAACCCUACAAGACUCCAAACUAAUGCUCUUCCUCAAUAAAUUCUCCCACUCAAUGCUGGAAGAAUCCAAUCCAAAUGCAUUCCCUACCCAUCCCCAGGAGGUUCACGGCUACUCCCCCAACAAAAUCACAACCCAACCUGACAAGAACCUAACCCAUACAUCUUCCAAUCCAUACGUAGCCAAACUCCACUCUUCACUUUCCAGUCUGAGGCCAACUCCAAACACAGAUCUCUCAUGACUAAAUUCUAAGCUGUUU